GCUGCCGCGGCGAGGGGCCGAGGCGGCGUGGCGGUGAGGAGCGGUCCCGAGCGCGGCUCCGCUCGUCUCCUCUGCGGCUCCCGCCGGGCCCUUGGUGCCCGGCCGACCCCGGCGCGGCAGGGCAUGGUGGCGCCCGGGCUGGGGCCGUGGCUCCUGGCCUUGUCCUUGGCCGCGGGGCCGGCAGGGCUGUGGGCGCAGCUGAGGCUGGUGGAGACCGGCGGAGGGCUGCGAGCACCCGGGGACUCCGUGAACCUCUCCUGCCGCGGGUUCGGCUUCACGUUCAGGGAUUUUUCUGUUUGGUGGUACCGUCAGGCACCGGGCAGCAGUGUCGAGUGGGUGUCCUACAUCAGUUACACGGGUACCACGAAGAAGUACGGGGCAGCAGUGGAGGGUCGAGCCACAGUCUCCCGGGACAAUUCCCGUUCCGAGUCAACUCUGUCCCUGCGGAGCCUGCGCCCUCAGGACUCUGCCCGCUACUUCUGUGCCGUUCCCACGGAGACAGGAAAUGCAGCAGAGCUUUAACACAAACCUGGCAGGCAGCUAAAACAACCACAUUAGUAUUUGCUCACUACCUGCUCCCGGUAGGAUAUGGGAGAGAAUUGAAAAUGGAAAGGGAAAAAAAAUUCUCUUUGGU